AUGACGGACAGUGGAAUAAACCAGUACCCUCUUGUGAAGGCCUUCCUUGUGAUGUUCCACAACUAGGUCCAAGUCCGGGAGUCUCUCCGAUCACCUUAAGAGUGAAAUCAGGAGGAAAAUUAAAUGUAUUCUGCAACUCUGAGUAUGAACUUGAAGGAGAAAAUGAAAUUGAAUGUUUAGACACAGGACUUUGGAGUUCAACCUUCCCAACAUGCACAAAAACUUGUGAGAUGCCUGAUAUACCAACAAUCCUACGCCUGAUGACAAAUGUAGAGAGAAGAAGAGCUAAGAAGGGACAAAAAUUAAAGUUUGAAUGCAGCCAACGAGGAAAAUUCAUUCAAGGAAAUGCAGAGAUUGAAUGUUUGGAAAGUGGAGAGUGGAGUGAUCAGCUUCCCAGAUGUGGAGGUAAAUGAUUUUUUUCUGUGCACUUUCAUGUGUUUGAGUAGAUUAUUUUUUUUUUUAUUAAAGAGCUCAUUGUCUACUACAAGCUUUAACAGAUGAUGAAUUGCCAGAAAGGUGGA